rnacentral:rRNA from 1 species
CCUACGGAGGGCUGCAGUGGGGAAUAUUGCACAAUGGGGGAAACCCUGAUGCAGCCAUGCCGCGUGUGUGAAGAAGGCCUUCGGGUUGUAAAGCACUUUCAGUUGUGAGGAAAAGUUAGUAGUUAAUACCUGCUAGCCGUGACGUUAACAACAGAAGAAGCACCGGCUAACUCCGUGCCAGCAGCCGCGGUAAUACGGAGGGUGCGAGCGUUAAUCGGAAUUACUGGGCGUAAAGCGCACGCAGGGGGUUUGUUAAGCUAGAUGUGAAAGCCCCGGGCUCAACCUGGGAUGGUCAUUUGGAAAUGGCAGACUAGAGUCUUGGAGAGGGGAGUGGAAUUCCAGGUGUAGCGGUGAAAUGCGUAGAUAUCUGUAGGAACAUCAGUGGCGAAGGCGACUCCCUGGCCAAAGACUGACGCUCAUGUGCGAAAGUGUGGGUAGCGAACAGGAUUAGAUACCCCAGUAGUC